AAAACAAAAAGAAGAAACAAUACAAACAUUUGCCGAUACAACUCACGCCUAUGUGGAAAAAACCAAUAGAGCGGAUGUUACUUACCGGCGAUACUGGCAGUUGCCAGUAAAAAUACUCCCAGCCAGAUCAUUCUUGCGAAACGUUGAAACGAUGCACGACGUUGAAA